GAAGAUGCCGUCACACAAGUCUUUCAUGAUCAACAAGAACCCUUUGUAGUUUAAUUGCAUUUCAAGUAUUGGGUUGGACCAAUUUUUGGAAAAAAAAGGUGAACCAAUCAAAUUGGGAACUUCCCUGCUAAACCAUAAUCUUUGAUGCUGGCAGCUCCUACAACCGUGUCCACGACUCUGUUUCUACCACAACCACCAGAUCUCAAGCACCGCCAGCCUUACCAAUGUGGUGGUUGAUAGGAGCAUAUUUAUGCGACUUAGUUAGCUUGUUUUCUUUCAUUUUCAUAGUUUGUUUGUGUUUAUUAUAGUGUUUUAAGCUAUUUUCGUGUGUUUGUAGGUCCAUAUGACAAAGUUGGCAAGAAAGUGCAAUUUGGAGCAUUUUGAAGCAGUUUUAGGCACCAAAUGGAUAGCUUAUGAAUAGAGCAAGAUGGAUGGACGAAUUUGAAGUUCAAGAGGCUAGGAAUAUGCUGAAAAUAGUGAAGAAAUAAAUCCAAGUCAAGGAAGAUAAGAAAUCAGCUCAAAAGAAGGAACAUUAUCCAAACCUUAUCCAACCUUAUCUUAUCUUAUCAUAUCCUAAUCCUAUCCUAAUUUAAUUCCAGCUGCAUGGGGGAUUUAUUUUCAGAUUAGGACACAUUAAAAUAGGUUUCUAGAAGCCCUUAUCCACUCCUACAAAGGUGUCGAACCUUAUCCCUUGUUUUUCUAGGAAUCAGCCACAAAACAACUUUUCUAGAAGGCCUUAUCCUUUGUCCUUCAAAUAUGGCGCCUGGACCCUUUCUAGAAGCUCUAGAACCUGCAAUCCUUUUCCCUUAGGAUUGUGCAAUCCUUUUCCCUUCAGAUUUGGGUGAACCCUAGUCCUUUUCCUUCAUGAAUUGUGCCAAAUACACAUUCAUUUCCUUCCAAAAUUUGUGGGUUUCCCUAGCCCUAUAAAUACAAACCUUUGUAUAGCAAUUAAUCUACCACCCUCUACCAUCAGAUCACCACACCAUCCACCUUUCAUCACAAAUUCGUACAAACAACCAUUCACCACAAUUCAGACCAUCUUCCAUCACAAUUUCGUGCCAUACAUCCCUUUAGUGCAGCAGAUUUGCAAGGAGAAAGGAGAGGAGUCCCUGGAGCCGUGCUUGCCAUUCAAGACGUUGGAUUGUUGGAGCGUUUCUAGGUGUUUUCUAUCUUUGAUUUCAAUGUUUAAUUUAAGUUAUCUUUGUUUAUUUAUGAGUAUGAUGAACUAAACCCCUCUUAGCUAGGGGGAAUUCGAAACCAUGUUCAUGCUUGCAAUAUGAUUUGAUUACUUUCAGUUGUGAUUCAUAAGUUGUGAAUUCAAUUUACUUAUCCGUUUGAAUUAAAACUGAUUUGUGUGUGUUGGUUGAGAGUGCACGCUUAAUUUUCAUGCAUAAAUCUAAUGCUAGGAUAUAAGGGAGUUUCACCUAAUCGUUAUGAACUUAUAUUCACAAGUAGUGAAGGUUGUUAGUCACAAUCGCGUUAAGUAAAUUCUUGGCAUAAGUUUCAUGCAAUUCAUAGUUACAAGUGCUUCGUCAAUGCUUAUGAUUUUUAUAGAACUUAAUGAUUCUUGCUUGUAUCUCUAUUAUGCAAUUCAUGUAGGGAACUUGUGGGGGACGCUUUGGGCUGUUGUAUGCAAUUAUCCAAUUCAAUGAAAUUAGGAAAAUCUGAGGGUUAAUUAGUGCAAUUCACGGUUAAUCUGGGGCGUUGAGAAUUCAUGGUUUAUUGAAAAGCAACUGGAAAUCGUUUUGUUUGCAAGUGUGUCAUGUGUGGAGAAGAACCUUCUAGCUAGCCUAUCAUCCAUAGUUUUACCCAAAUUCGUGCAGAUUUCAUUAGUUCUUUAAUUUACUUGUUUUGUUUUCAAAUUCGUCAAAACCAAACCCCCCCCCUUUACUUUAGAGUGUCUAACUAGUUAGAAUAUGUUUUAAAUUGUGUUUUUAAGUGUUUUGAGUCAAGGAAAAACCAAAAUUCGUCCAAAGUUGUGUUUAGAGUCCAAAUCUGCCCAGUUUGUGUUUUUAGGCAGAUUUGAGUGUUUUUAACUUGUUUUGAGUCUUUUAAGUUUGUUUUGAGUUCUUUGAGUCUAGUUAGUGUUUUUAACUUUGUUUAUAUGUUUUUAAGUCAGUCUAGAGGUUAUUAGCAAGCCCUUCUAAUCCCCGGUCCAGAACGAUCCCCACUUACAGUCUUUACUACAAUUGAGACAAGAGGGUUUAAUUUAUGUGUUAAGUUAAUUUUCGCAUCAGUGGUCCAGAACCGCACACACCAUUGCUAUCACAUACCGUCCGUACAAGCUGAGGGUGCUGAUGGUCAUAAAUGUCAUCGAGACAGCGAAGACAAUGGACCUUUUGUCACCCAAAAAAAACCUAGUUUCGUCGGCGGCCGGAGAUCUCAGAAAAUUGUAGACUCGUAGGAUGAACCACAUCACCGCUUAGAGAGAUUUGAAUUUGGAUUUGGCAGCAGAAAGAUGAUAGGUUUUCGGUUGGUUUGGGAAAUUUUUUGUAGAGAGGAUUUAGAUUUAGAUUUGCUGGGUUUUGUUUCAAGCCAUGGUGCUGUAGGGAUUUGCAAUGUUUGGUCCAUGGCGAGGAAAGGAUGAAGGGUGCAGGGAGGGAGGAAGGUGCGUGGAGAUUAAGGGUUG
rnacentral:lncRNA from 1 species